rnacentral:SRP_RNA from 1 species
GUUGGGUCAUGUGGUCCUUGCGAAGGCUUGGGCUGCGUGUCUCUUAGACAAGAGGGUACAGCGUGAGGCUGGUUUCACAGAGCAGAUUGCCUCUGUC